UACGUAGGGAGCAAGCGUUGUCCGGAAUCAUUGGGCGUAAAGCGCGCGUAGGUGGCCUCAUAAGUCCGCUGUGAAAGUCAAAGGCUCAACCUUUGAAAGCCGGUGGAUACUGUGAGGCUAGAGUACGGAAGAGGCGAGUGGAAUUCCUGGUGUAGCGGUGGAAUGCGCAGAUAUCAGGAGGAACACCAAUAGCGAAGGCAGCUCGCUGGGACGUUACUGACACUGAGGCGCGAAAGCGUGGGGAGCAAACAGG
rnacentral:rRNA from 1 species